CACGUAGGGCGCAAGCGUUGUCCGGAAUUAUUGGGCGUAAAGAGCUCGUAGGCGGUCUGUUACGUCUGCUGUGAAAACCCGGGGCUUAACCCUGGGCUUGCAGUGGAUACGGGCAGACUAGAGGCAGGUAGGGGAGAAUGGAAUUCCCGGUGUAGCGGUGAAAUGCGCAGAUAUCGGGAGGAACACCGGUGGCGAAGGCGGGUCUCUGGGCCGAUACUGACGCUGAGGAGCGAAAGCGUGGGGAGCGAACAGG
rnacentral:rRNA from 1 species